GACCCAGUGGUGAAAUGGUAACAUGCCUGCAUAGUAUCUGUAAUUUCCAUACAAUUAUGUAGGAGAUCCUUGUUCGAAUCAGGGUUGGGUCA